AAGAAUUGGCUUCGGCCGUCUUAUCAUCAACCAUGUGAACUUGUUUUUGAUUUUGGCGGGACGCAGCAUUACGCUGCCUCGGCUCACGAGCGCGCCCGCCAAAGGUUUAUUUAAACAUUGAUGUCUUGAAUGUCUUUUUCUAAACCAAAAAGA
rnacentral:misc_RNA from 1 species